AUGCAAGUCGAAGGGCAGCGCGAGAGAGCUUGCUCUCUUGGCGGCGAGUGGCGGACGGGUGAGUAAUAUAUCGGAACGUGCCCAGUAGCGGGGGAUAACUACUCGAAAGAGUGGCUAAUACCGCAUACGCCCUACGGGGGAAAGGGGGGGAUCGCAAGACCUCUCACUAUUGGAGCGGCCGAUAUCGGAUUAGCUAGUUGGUGGGGUAAAGGCUCACCAAGGCAACGAUCCGUAGCUGGUUUGAGAGGACGACCAGCCACACUGGGACUGAGACACGGCCCAGACUCCUACGGGAGGCAGCAGUGGGGAAUUUUGGACAAUGGGGGAAACCCUGAUCCAGCCAUCCCGCGUGUAUGAUGAAGGCCUUCGGGUUGUAAAGUACUUUUGGCAGAGAAGAAAAGGUAUCUCCUAAUACGAGAUACUGCUGACGGUAUCUGCAGAAUAAGCACCGGCUAACUACGUGCCAGCAGCCGCGGUAAUACGUAGGGUGCAAGCGUUAAUCGGAAUUACUGGGCGUAAAGCGUGUGUAGGCGGUUCGGAAAGAAAGAUGUGAAAUCCCAGGGCUCAACCUUGGAACUGCAUUUUUAACUGCCGAGCUAGAGUAUGUCAGAGGGGGGUAGAAU
rnacentral:rRNA from 1 species